AACGAACGCUGGCGGCGUGCUUAACACAUGCAAGUCGAACGGAAAGGCCCUGCUUUUGUGGGGUGCUCGAGUGGCGAACGGGUGAGUAACACGUGAGUAACCUGCCCUUGACUUUGGUAUAACUUCAGGAAACUGGGGCUAAUACCGUAUAGGAGCUCCUGCUGCAUGGUGGGGGUUGGAAAGUUUCGGCGGCUGGGGAUGGACUCGCGGCUUAUCAGCUUGUUGGUGGGGUAGUGGCUUACCAAGGCUUUGACGGGUAGCCGGCCUGAGAGGGUGACCGGCCACAUUGGGACUGAGAUACGGCCCAGACUCCUACGGGAGGCAGCAGUGGGGAAUAUUGCACAAUGGGCGGAAGCCUGAUGCAGCAACGCCGCGUGCGGGAUGACGGCCUUCGGGUUGUAAACCGCUUUCGCCUGUGACGAAGCGUGAGUGACGGUAAUGGGUAAAGAAGCACCGGCUAACUACGUG
rnacentral:rRNA from 1 species